rnacentral:misc_RNA from 1 species
AAAUCAUUGAUCAUUUCUCAACCAGUUUCUGAAAUGAAAAAACACCUAACGCUGAUGUUAGUCGUAAUGUUAGCCGUGGUAUCGGCUCAAAAGCGCCGUCUUCCUGACCCGACUCCUACAACAGAGAGUACUACCUUUUUGGAGGUAUCAAGCGAAAAAUGCGAUCUUUUCACGAAUGACUUCUGCGGUAGUGUCGAGACGACAUCACCACUACCUUUAAUUCAAUAUGGAUAAUAAAUAAAUUAUGGCUGAUAUUAUU